rnacentral:misc_RNA from 1 species
CAAUAAGGUUUUGGUCAUCUUCUGCGGGCCAAAUGCCGUGAAAGUGAAUGUCAUCCGCAGCAUUUUAACUCAGAUAAUGAACAAGGAAUCUUUGAGUCGACUGAUAUUGGUCAUUCAAAAUCAAAUGACUAAUCCAGCUUUGAAAGCUGUGGAGCUUUUCUCAUUUAAAGUUGAAAUUUUCCAGAUCACAGAUUUACUUGUCAAUAUCACAAAACAUGUUUUAAAGCCAAGGCAUGAGUUGUUAACCGACACUGAGAAGGAGAAGCUGUUGAAGAAGUAUAACUUGGAAGAG